GAUGAACGCUGGCGGCGUGCUUAACACAUGCAAGUCGAACGGUGAAGGCGGAGCUUGCUCUGCUGGGUCAGUGGCGCACAGGUGAGUAUCACGUGAGCAAUAUCCGCCUUACUCUGGGAUACGACCUGGGAACGGCGACGCAUACAGGGUACAAGCUCCGAAUACAUCUUCAGCAAGUGUAAAGAAUUUCGUUCAGGGAUGAAAGGGUGGCCUAUCAGCUUGUUGGUGAGGUAAUGGCUCAGCAACGCGUCGAGGGGUAGCCGGACUGAGAGGGUGACCGGGCACACUGGGACUGAGACACCGCCCAUAGGGCUACGGGAGGCAGCGGUGGAAGACAUUGCAAGAUGGGCGACAGGCGGGUGGAGCAACGCCGGGUGGGGGACGACGGUCUUCGGGUUGUAAACCUCUUUUGGCAGGGAAGAAGCGAAAGUGACGGUACCUGCAGAAAAAGCGCCGGCUAACUACGUG
rnacentral:rRNA from 1 species